rnacentral:rRNA from 1 species
GACGAACGCUGGCGGCGUGCUUAACACAUGCCAGUCGAGCGGAAAGGCCCUGAGUUUGUGUGGCUCUCGUUUGGGGAACGGGGGAGUAUCACGCGUGUAAACUGCCCCUGUCUUUGGGAUAACUUCAGGAAACUGGGGCGAUUAUCGGAUAGGAGCUCCUGCAGCACGGUGGGGGUAGGAAAGAUUCGGCGGUUUUGGCUGGACUCGCGGCUUAUGCGCUUGAUGGUCGGGUAGUGGCUUACCAAGGCUUUGACGGGUAGCCGGCCUGGGAGGGUGACCGGCCACAUUGGGACUACGGGACGGACCAGACUGCAACGGGAGGCAGUGGGGGGGAGCAUUGCGGAAUGGGCGGAAGCCUGAGACAGCAACGCCGCGUGCGGAAAGCCGUCUUUCGGGUUGUAAACAGCUGUCGCAUGUGACGAAGAGUGAGUGACGGUAAUGGGUAAAGAAGCACCGGCUAACUACGUG